GGAAAACUCACCAGGCCCGGACACUGGAAGGAUUGACAGAUUGAUAGCUCUUUCUUGAUUCGGUGGGUGGUGGUGCAUGGCCGUUCUUAGUUGGUGGAGCGAUCUGUCUGGUUAAUUCCGAUAACGAACGAGACCCCAACCUGCUAACUAGCCCUCGGGUCCUGCUUCUGUUGGGCCCGACGGAAUGAUUCGCUUCUUAGAGGGACUCGCGGCGCCUAGCCGCACGAAGGGGGGCGAUAA
rnacentral:rRNA from 1 species